rnacentral:rRNA from 1 species
UACGUAGGGUGCGAGCGUUAAUCGGAAUUACUGGGCGUAAAGCGUGCGCAGGCGGUUAUGCAAGACAGAUGUGAAAUCCCCGGGCUCAACCUGGGAACUGCAUUUGUGACUGCAUGGCUAGAGUGCGGCAGAGGGGGAUGGAAUUCCGCGUGUAGCAGUGAAAUGCGUAGAUAUGCGGAGGAACACCGAUGGCGAAGGCAAUCCCCUGGGCCUGCACUGACGCUGAGACGCGAAAGCGUGGGGAGCAAACAGG